GUCUCCUCCUAAAGAGUAACGGAGGAGCACGAAGGUUGGCUAAUCCUGGUCGGACAUCAGGAGGUUAGUGCAAUGGCAUAAGCCAGCUUGACUGCGAGCGUGACGGCGCGAGCAGGUGCGAAAGCAGGUCAUAGUGAUCCGGUGGUUCUGAAUGGAAGGGCCAUCGCUCAACGGAUAAAAGGUACUCCGGGGAUAACAGGCUGAUACCGCCCAAGAGUUCAUAUCGACGGCGGUGUUUGGCACCUCGAUGUCGGCUCAUCACAUCCUGGGGCUGAAGUAGGUCCCAAGGGUAUGGCUGUUCGCCAUUUAAAGUGGUACGCGAGCUGGGUUUAGAACGUCGUGAGACAGUUCGGUCCCUAUCUGCCGUGGGCGCUGGAGAACUGAGGGGGGCUGCUCCUAGUACGAGAGGACCGGAGUGGACGCAUCACUGGUGUUCGGGUUGUCAUGCCAAUGGCACUGCCCGGUAGCUAAAUGCGGAAGAGAUAAGUGCUGAAAGCAUCUAAGCACGAAACUUGCCCCGAGAUGAGUUCUCCCUGACUCCUUGAGAGUCCUGAAGGAACGUUGAAGACGACGACGUUGAUAGGCCGGGUGUGUAAGCGCAGCGAUGCGUUGAGCUAACCGGUACUAAUGAACCGUGAGG
rnacentral:rRNA from 1 species